GACGAACGCUGGCGGCAUGCCUAAUACAUGCAGGUCGAGCGAACAGAUGAAGUGCUUGCACUUCUGACGUUAGCGGCGAACGGGUGAGUAACACGUAAGGAAUCUGCCUAUAAGCGGGGGAUAACAUUCGGAAACGGGUGCUAAUACCGCAUAAUAUCUUCUUCCGCAUGGAAGAAGAUUGAAAGACGGCUCUGCUGUCACUUAUAGAUGACCUUGCGGUGCAUUAGUUAGUUGGUGGGGUAACGGCCUACCAAGACGAUGAUGCAUAGCCGACCUGAGAGGGUGAUCGGCCACAUUGGGACUGAGACACGGCCCAAACUCCUACGGGAGGCAGCAGUAGGGAAUCUUCCGCAAUGGGCGAAAGCCUGACGGAGCAAUGCCGCGUGAGUGAAGAAGGCCUUCGGGUCGUAAAACUCUGUUAUAAGAGAAGAACAAAUUGUAGAGUAACUGCUACAGUCUUGACGGUAUCUUAUCUGAAAGCCACGGCUAACUACGUGCCAGCAGCCGCAGUAA
rnacentral:rRNA from 1 species